CACGUAGGGUGCGAGCGUUGUCCGGAAUUAUUGGGCGUAAAGAGCUCGUAGGCGGUGUGUCGCGUCGGCCGUGAAAACCUGCAGCUUAACUGUGGGCUUGCGGUCGAUACGGGCAUCACUGGAGUUCGGCAGGGGAGACUGGAAUUCCUGGUGUAGCGGUGAAAUGCGCAGAUAUCAGGAAGAACACCCGUGGCGAAGGCGGCUCUCUGGGACGGUACUGACGCUGAGACGCGAAAGCCAGGGGAGCAAACGGG
rnacentral:rRNA from 1 species